rnacentral:rRNA from 1 species
UAGCUAGUUGGUGGGGUAAGGGCCUACCAAGGCGACGAUCGGUAGCUGGUCUGAGAGGAUGACCAGCCACACUGGAACUGAGACACGGUCCAGACUCCUACGGGAGGCAGCAGUGGGGAAUAUUGGACAAUGGGGGCAACCCUGAUCCAGCAAUGCCGCGUGUGUGAAGAAGGCCUGAGGGUUGUAAAGCACUUUCAGUGGGGAGGAGGAUAAUUAGGUUAAGAGCUAGAUUAUUGGACGUUACCCACAGAAGAAGCACCGGCUAACUCCGUGCCAGCAGCCGCGGUAAUACGGAGGGUGCAAGCGUUAAUCGGAAUUACUGGGCGUAAAGCGUGCGUAGGUGGUUGAAUAAGUUAUCUGUGAAAUCCCCGGGCUCAACCUGGGCAGGUCAGAUAAGACUGUUUAACUCGAGUAUGGGAGAGGGUAGUGGAAUUUCCGGUGUAGCGGUGAAAUGCGUAGAGAUCGGAAGGAACACCAGUGGCGAAGGCGGCUACCUGGCCCAAUACUGACACUGAGGCACGAAAGCGUGGGGAGUAAACAGGAUUAGAUACCCUGGUAGUCCACGCCGUAAACGAUGUCAACUAGCUGUUGGUCAUAUGAAUGUGAUUAGUGGCGA